rnacentral:rRNA from 1 species
UGGGGAAUUUUGGACAAUGGGCGAAAGCCUGAUCCAGCAAUGCCGCGUGUGUGAAGAAGGCCUUCGGGUUGUAAAGCACUUUUUGUCCGGAAAGAAAUCCUUGGCUCUAAUACAGUCGGGGGAUGACGGUACCGGAAGAAUAAGCACCGGCUAACUACGUGCCAGCAGCCGCGGUAAUACGUAGGGUGCAAGCGUUAAUCGGAAUUACUGGGCGUAAAGCGUGCGCAGGCGGUUUGCUAAGACCGAUGUGAAAUCCCCGGGCUCAACCUGGGAACUGCAUUGGUGACUGGCAGGCUAGAGUAUGGCAGGAGGGGGGUAGAAUUCCACGUGUGAGCAGUGAAAUGCGUAGAGAUGUGGAGGAAUACCGAUGGCGAAGGCAGCCCCCUGGGCCAAUA